UACGUAGGGCGCAAGCGUUGUCCGGAAUUAUUGGGCGUAAAGAGCUCGUAGGCGGUCUGUUACGUCCGCUGUGAAAACCCAGGGCUUAACCCUGGGCUUGCAGUGGAUACGGGCAGACUAGAGGCAGGUAGGGGAGAAUGGAAUUCCCGGUGUAGCGGUGAAAUGCGCAGAUAUCAGGAGGAACACCGGUGGCGAAGGCGGAUCUCUGGGCCAUUACUGACGCUGAGGAGCGAAAGCGUGGGGAGCGAACAGG
rnacentral:rRNA from 1 species